rnacentral:rRNA from 1 species
GGAGGGUGCGAGCGUUAAUCGGAAUUACUGGGCGUAAAGCGCGCGUAGGCGGUUUGGUUAGUCAGAUGUGAAAGCCCCGGGCUUAACCUGGGGAUUGCAUUUGAUACUGCCGGACUCGAGUAUGGUAGAGGGAAGUGGAAUUCCACAUGUAGCGGUGAAAUGCGUAGAUAUGUGGAGGAACACCAGUGGCGAAGGCGGCUUCCUGGACCAAUACUGACGCUGAGGUGCGAAAGCGUGGGGAGCAAACAGGGAUUAGAUACCCUGGUAGUCCACGCCGUAAACGAUGUCAACUAGCCCGUUGGGGGGGGUUGCCCCUUAGUGGCGCAGCUAACGCGAUAAGUUGACCGCCUGGGGGAGUACGGUCGCAAGAUUA